rnacentral:tRNA from 1 species
GACGCUACGGACUUUUUUUCAAUCGUGAGGGUUCAAGUCCCUCUAUCCCCACU